GCGGUGCUCCAUAUCGACCUAGAGGAGCCUGUCCUAUAAUCGAUAAUCCACGUUUCACCCUACCACUUCUUGCAACUCAGCCUAUAUACCGCCGUCGUCAGCCUACCUUAUGAAAGAGACAGAGUAAGCAAAACAGUUAACAACUAAAACGUCAGGUCAAGGUGUAGCAUAUGAAGUGGAAGAGAUGGGCUACACUUUCUACCCCAGAACACACGAACAGCACAAUGAAAUCAAUGCUCGAAGGCGGAUUUAGUAGUAAGAAAAACAAGAAACUUUUCCUGAAACUCGCUCUGGAGCGCGCACACACCGCCCGUCACCCUCAUCACAUUAACUUCCCACUUAAAAUAUAACAAUUUCACAAUAACAGAUGAGGAAAGUCGUAACAUGGUAAGCGCACCGGAAGGCGCGCUUGGAAUAACAAACAGUAGCUUAACACAAAGCAUUCAGCUUACAAUUGAAACAUGUUAGUGAGACUCUAACCUUUUUGA
rnacentral:rRNA from 1 species